rfam:Morus notabilis contig44076, whole genome shotgun sequence.
GCGAGGUGACGAUAGAAAUUCAUGUCUGUCAAUCCACUGAACUGUGAAAACAGUGUGAUGUUACCAUGAAUCCCGACAGGUUCUGAUCGC